rnacentral:lncRNA from 1 species
CCGGUUUAAUUCGGUGUAACGGAAAACAUGGGGAAGGAGAAAGCACACAAAGCUCGUCUUCCUCAGGAAACGCGGCGGCGGCGGCAGCAGCUGCUCCUACCCGCACCGCCUCCCUCGACAAGCAGCAGCAACACGCCGCGGUGGACGGGGGCGGGGAAGGGAAGGAGAAGGGCUCCAGAGAGAGAAAGAGAGAGGCAGCAGAAAGUCGGGAUCCCAACUCUCCGAUUCGGAUCCCGAGCCAAUGAAUGGUCCGGACCAAGUCGGCGGAGAGCCUUUUGCAGGCAGGCGCGCGCGCACGCACACACACACACACACACACACACGUGUGCGUGCGUUGGGUUGCGAGUAAUUAUAUUCGUCCGGAUCUGCCUUUGUGCCUGCUGCCUUUCGGUUAGCGCAAGACACCGUUAUGGGGCUUUCUUCCUCUUCGCUUUAUCAACGAUGUCCAACAGAGGUCCAAGGCCAUCCUCAAGCCGGGCAGGAGUUCCUGAAAGGGAGGAUCGAGAGCCGUGGCGUGGGCUUUUCCUGAUCCCCAGGCAUCCUUGGGGAAAGAAAACGCUUUCCCAGCUCCACUCCGCCACCUGGGAUCCCGAAGACAAGAGUUUCUGCAGAGGCAGGAGAAAAAACCUCGCUGGACUCCGGCGGCGACCACGGGGUGAAACGUGCAGAGAUCAAUAACCCUGGAAAGCGCCGCUUUGGGCAGACCCGAUAAGCCAAACCCGGAAUCAUCAUCCUCCCAUUUCUCCCCCCCUCCUUCUUUGUUCCAGGCGAUCCAGGAACAGUAGAAAGAAAGCGGGGUGCCCGGGUUUGGGGGGGGGAAAGCGGUGGUGGUAGAAAGGACCCAUUUUACCAAAGUUGGAGGGAAGCCUCUGGUCGCGAUCGGCUCGCUGGGCCACAUCUUGCGCCGCCCCUUGACCUGGCUCUCCCCUGGCCUCCUCUCUUUCGGUGGCAGUAAAUCAAAGGCAAAGUGAAGAUUUUCUGUUUUAAAGGGUUUGGUGUUUUUUUUGGAAAAAAAAUUAAAAUGAGGGUCAUCCCAUCUAUUCUUCAAAAAAAAAAAGCGUGAAAUAUAGCUGGGGGUACCCUGUGUUUCUAAAGGUUCAUCAUCAUGGAAAUUUCAAUAAACUUACAUCACUCCCAAUGGCUAAAGGACUU